rnacentral:rRNA from 1 species
GACGAACGCUGGCGGCGUGCCUAAUACAUGCAAGUAGAACGCUGAAGGAGGAGCUUGCUUCUCUGGAUGAGUUGCGAACGGGUGAGUAACGCGUAGGUAACCUGCCUGGUAGCGGGGGAUAACUAUUGGAAACGAUAGCUAAUACCGCAUAAUAGCAGUUGUUGCAUGACAACUGUUUGAAAGGUGCACUUGCACCACUACCAGAUGGACCUGCGUUGUAUUAGCUAGUUGGUGGGGUAACGGCUAACCAAGGCGACGAUACAUAGCCGACCUGAGAGGGGGAUCAGCCACACUGGGACGGAGACACGGCCCAGACUCCUACGGGAGGCAGCAGUAGGGAAUCUUCGGCAAUGGGCGGAAGUCUGACCGGGCAACGCCGCGUGAGUGAAGAAGGUUUUCGGAUCGUAAAGCUCUGUUGUAAGAGAAGAACGAGUGUGAGAGUGGAAAGUUCACACUGUGACGGUAUCUUACCAGAAAGGGACGGCUAACUACGUG